rnacentral:misc_RNA from 1 species
AACUUUUGGCAAUGGAUCUCUUGGUUCUCGCAUCGAUGAAGAACGCAGCGAAAUGCGAUAAGUAAUGUGAAUUGCAGAUUUCAGUGAAUCAUCGAAUCUUUGAACGCACCUUGCGCUCCUUGGUAUUCCGAGGAGCAUGCCUGUUUGAGUGUCAUUAAAUUCUCAACCCACUUGGAUUUUAUUAUUCGAUAGUGUGGAUUGGAUUUGGAGGUUUUUGCUGGCAGAGUCAGCUCCUCUUGAAAUGUAUUAGCGAAGUUGCGCCCUUGUUCGUGUGGUCGGUGUGAUAAUUUAUCAACACCUAACCCUAGAAUAGGGUUUCGCUUCUAAUCGUCUUUGGACAAUUUUAUGACCUUUUGACCUCAAAUCAGGUAGGACUACCCGCUGAACUUAAGCAUAUCAAUAAGCGGAGGCU